GGGGGGUCAGGGUGAUGCCAACUUCCAAUUUGCCCUACACAAAUACAUUAUAAGUGCAGCAUUCUAUACAACCUUAGUGGGCCUGGAACAAUGCUCCCUCAUUGUCCUCCAGACGACAGCACUGCAAUAGCAUUAUAAACGAGCGCUUAAAAAGCACAGUGAUUCCUGGAGAAAGUGUCCACACAGCCCAGAUCUGCAAUUUUGAAAACUAGAAGGCCUGGAUCCUAAUAAGCCGUUCUCUGAGGCCCUACCGCAAGCAUGCGAGGCACACCGUAAAGAAUUCUCCAUUCCACCCCCAAUGCCCCCCCCCCCUUUUUCUUCCUCCAUCCUCUUCAUAUACUCCCCCCUUCAGCCUCAUAGCUUUUGCAGCCGCUCGGGACGUUGCAAAGUGCUUCAGCAGAUGGAAAGCAGUCUUUAAUUACAGUGGAAUCAGCUGACCGGCAUGCAUCCCCUCUUUCCGUCCUGGAUGGACGGAGACAGAACAACAGCGAGGUAGAAAAGUAAGGGCGCACACACAUGCAUUCAUGUAAAUGUCAACAACAUGCUCUGGUUCUAAAUGAGAGUUUGAGGACUCCUCCAGGGGCACGUUGCAAGGGUGUGUGUGUACUUGAGAAGGGAGUCUCAUUUCCUACCAUUACUGCUGCGAUUGGCCAUUUGCUUCAGCUGUCGCUCCAUAAAGGUCGGUACCUUUACACAAGCAAGACAGCCCAUUAUCUUUAUUUUUUGUCUAUACUAAAUAUCAGUCAGCAACCUGGAAAUAAUUUACACUGUGAACUCUUACAAGUUUUACUAAUAUAUUCUGAGGUUACUCAGAAAUGUGUGGAGGACUGCCAUUUUCUGUCAACUGAAAAGUGGUUAAUUGGAUGCAUUACCGCCAUCUGCUGGGGGACGUCCAAUCUGUGUUACGCUCCAAAUAAUUUGUCCUGAUAAACUUGAUUUUCUGGGAAGCAAAUGACUUGGUUUUGCCCAUACAAAACUGACUGCCAUAAUACCUGUGGAUGGUUGUCAGGGCGUUGAGUUAUGGUUGCUACAGUGCUCUGGGUGGUUGCUUUUUAAACUGGUUUGUCAGAUGCCAGGCCAAAAACAAAACUCCAAAAGCUAUAAAAAGCAAGAGCACAGUUCUCCUUAGUACACUGCAAAAUUAGAAUUAUUUUUACUGAAUACUUAAAAUUAGAGGUAAAUAACUGUGACUUAUUUCUGUUGUAUUAAACUUUUUUUUUUUUUUUUUCUGGUCAGUGAUGCAAAACCUCCCUUUUUGAAUAAAAUCAAAAUAAAAAAAGACAUUGUAUAUACAAUUCUUUAAAAUACUUUAAGUAUAUUUGGCCAGCAGUUUCAUAAUGAUAAUAAAAA
ensembl:lncRNA